rnacentral:rRNA from 1 species
UACGUAGGUGGCAAGCGUUGUCCGGAUUUAUUGGGUUUAAAGGGUGCGUAGGUGGUCUAUUAAGUCAGUGCUGAAAUAUCCCGGCUUAACCGGGAGGGUGGCAUUGAUACUGAUAGACUUGAGUGGAGUCGAAGUAGGCGGAAUUGACGGUGUAGCGGUGAAAUGCUUAGAUACCGUCAAGAACACCGAUAGUGUAGACAGCUUACUAGGCUCUAACUGACACUGAGGCACGAAAGUGUGGGGAUCAAACAGG